ACCUCCACCGUUAGAUGCUGCUGCUUGAUGAUGAUUGUAGGAAGAGAAGUCCAAUUCCAUGGCACCAUAAGUUGCAAAGCUUUGUUGUUGAUGAUGAUGGUGAUGGUGAUGCAAGCUGUGAUGGGUUUCAAUGGUUUUGGCACUUUUUGGAUCGUUUUUAUCUAGGUUUGUGACAAUGGAAGAUAGACAUUCUGAGUCAACUCGAACAAGCUGGUCCGGGGUUGGUUUUUGAUCAUUUUGAUUAGUAUUAGUGGCUCCAUUUGGUGAGGCCAUGUUGUUGUUUUCAUGUUCCUUUGUUUCUUCCAAAUACAUUUCUUCUACCAUUGGUUUCCAUAGUCUCACUCUUGCAUUAAUGAACCAAUUGGAUACCUACAAGUAAAAACAAAAGGCAUCAUAUAUAUAAUAUGAUCAAAUAUAUUUUAGUAUAUAGUAUUUUGGUAUGAUUAUAAUAACUUAAAAGAUCCCAACAAGAUAUGCUCCAUUGAUAAUAUAAAUCAAUUCAGGGGGACUUAUAAUAUAUUGAUAAAAUAUUAUUGGUUAAAUUUUACUGUACUUUGUGAAAGAUGUGAAUAUAGUCUGUAUAUUUUAAUUUGAUCAAUUUUAAUCCAUGUACUUUUUGGAUUGGUCAAUUUUAAUCCAUGUACUUUUCAAAAUUUGAAAUUUUUAAAAUUUGAAAUUUUAAUUCUGACCCAAAUAAUAGCAGUUAAAUCCGUUUAGUUAAAUUCAAUUACUAGUCUUGUACUAUACAUAGAGUUAGAUUUAGUCUAUAUUCUUCAAUUAGAUCAUUCUAAACCCCUAUAUUUUUUGAAAAUUGAAAUUUUAAUCUAAAAAUAAAACCUGACAUAGCAUUACACAUAUGAUAAUAUGUUUACCACGUUGGAUUUUGAAAAUAAUAAAAUUUAAGGAAUUUAGCAAUUAUCGUUUGGUAAGGAUUGAAACUUUAAAAUUUAAAAAAGUACAUAAACUAAAAAAUGAUCAAAUUAAAGGAUAGGACUAAUGGCAAAAUUUAACCUAUAUAAUAAUAUUAAGUGAUGUGGACAUGCCUGGCUUCUUGAGAGACCGGUUUGCCGGGCUAAGAUAUGUUUAUCAACAUCGCUUGGAUACCUGCAAAAAUAUUGAAACUUUUCAGCCAUGGUAGUACUUUUGGUUACUUGUAAGUGAGGGAAAAGAUGGGUCCUAGUUAUAUAUAUAUAUAUAUAUAUCAAUGGAAACCAAAUGGUCCAAAUCCACAUAAAAAAAAUAACAGAGAGAAGCUAAAUGGUUGAAAUAAGAUGUCAAAACAUUUAAAAAAUGUGGAAUCUGAAUGGUGAUGACAAGAAACCAACAAAGAUUAACCACAAAAUGCUUUAAAACUAGUAAAGAGAAAGAGAUUUACGGGUGUAGAAAAUGCUCAAAUAACCAAGCUCGAAGAACCGAGACUGAUCUUUCGGGCAAGCCUCUUUGGGGUCUCCAUGGAUGUGAUUCCAUCAUGUUCAUUUGAUGAUAAGACCUUUGUUGCCUCAAAGCUUGGUCGAGUAUCCUUAGCCUUGGUGUUUCACCUUUGGUUGUCCCUGGUGCAACUGGGUCUUUUUCUCCCAUGGCUUUCCUAGUAGCUUGAAUUUGGCCAACGAUGCCAUCUCUUAAGCUUCUAAAAUGCCUUGACAUCGCUUUCGAUGCUAAAGCCGAAUACACCGAUGCCGCGCCGAUGCCGGCCACUGCUUCGAAGGACAAUACCACGGCUUUCAUUUGAUCACAAUAGUGCUUGUAUCUUCUAUCCAACUAAAGAUGCAUGAAAAAAAAACAAUAAAUUUGCAUUUAUUGGGCGGCCCCCUAAGUCGCUAAAUUAGUUCAAGAAAAGAAUAUUUUUAAACCCCAUUUCAAUCUACCACAAAAAGCUUUCAUACAUACAUACAUCACACAUAGUACUAUCAAAAUACUAUCAAAGUUGAAGUUUUGUAUUAAGAUUCAGAUUGCAUUUUAAUAAAAAUAUAAAUUAAUUGAUUCAUAUAUGUUAAAUCAAAUAAAAUUAAUCAUUUCAUCAAAAAUUUUAUUUAUUUCUACUAUUAUAAACUAAUCAUAUACAUUAUCAUAAAGUUCGCGUGAUGUAUCACAUGUCACUAUUUAAUUUGAUAUAUACGAAUUAAUUUAUUCAAUUUUUGAGUAAAAAAAGACAAAAUGCAAUAUGAAAACUACUACACCGCUUCCAAGGUAUUUUUACCAUCGUACAUACAAACAUACCUCUUCUAGCAUUGAAAGCAGCUUGGUUUUUCUUUUCUGCAACUCCAUGAAAUCUAGGGAAUGAAGGGGUUGUUUCAUUGAAGAGCUACCUCCAUUCUCAUCAUCCCAUUGUUUAUUACCCUUAUGGAUCGAUUGCUUUUGUUUCGAUGCAUCCAUUUGUUUCAUCGCAAGGCUACAAAACUCAUUCAAAAGCUCUUGAGUUGGUCCCAAGUACUUUGAAUUCCUCAAUUGGAACUCCCCUUGAUGAUGAUGAUGAUUUGCAGGCUUUGCAAAGAAACCCUCUCUAGAACUUGAUGAAGAACCAAUGAACCUCAUAUCAUCAUGUUGAUUAUCAUAGCCAUGACCAACUUGCUUCAGCUCAAAAGAUUGUACCCCAAUGGUAGUGGGAUUACUUGAUGAAAGAGAGAGUGAAAGACCUUGACUUGGUCUCUCGUUUCCUUCGCAAGGGAAAACACACCUGAAAGAAGAAUCAUCUUGCCAAGGACCUGAUGACUCAGUUCCAACUUCUAACCCAGUUGUGAACUCGGCAUGUUGAUAGAACUCGGUCGUUGACUCAUUAACAGCCUUGGAACAAGAAGGAGUACCUGUGGUGGUGGUGUUGCUUCCAUUUUUAUUGAAGAAUCCUAUCAUCUCCAUGCCUGUUGUUAAGUUAAACAUCUCCGGGUUGGAUUCAAAGCUUUGGAUCUGAUUCACGAGAUGGGUUGGCAUGGUUGAAUAGCAAAAACCAGUUGAUUUAUCAUCCAUGUAAUUUCCCUUUAAUGAUUUAUGCUUUUCAUUUGUUCCAUUAUAGCUUCUGAGAUGCUGAUUCUGCAACAAAACAAACAAACAUUAAUUGAAACUCAGUUCAAAACAAAACAUUUCUUUAUAUAGAACAUACUUAAUGUAAGAAAGUGAAAAAAGAGAUGCCUUACCAGUUAUGGAACAAGUUUCAACAGACAUGGAUGAAAACUUGAAAGGAGAUUUUGAUGGAGAAGAACCUUGUUUUGUUCUAUGUUAAAAACCCAACAUGGGGUGCCAUGAAAAUUUAAAAUCUUCACAACAAAAAGAAGUUUCAGAUCCAGAGGUGAUGAUGAUGGGGGCCCUUAUGCAUAACCAUGAUCAUAUUCAUACUCAUAUCCUUGCCUUUUCUCUCACUAGCUCAAGUGGGUCAAUAGGGUUAUUGAUGUAAAAAUUUGUAGGAAAAUGUUAAACGUUGUCUAAUAAUAUUGGAUUAAAUUGAUACUUAUAAAAAAAAUAUAAUUGUUAAUACAUCCAAAAUAGACAUCCUACUGAGAAAAUUCUCCCUUAAUUACUUCAUAACCAACAAUAAAAAAAUAAAAUGAAAAUAUAUAAAGAACUUAAUGAUUAAAACAAUAAAUUCCUUGGUUCCCAAAGUACUGAAGCAACAGGUGACAGGAUAGGAUAAGGGGAAGAACAGAGAAUAAUGAUGGUCCUUUGCCUGCUAACCAAACUACAAGCCGCCACAUGACAUGACUUCUUUCUUCUUGAUUUUGCUUCUUUUAAUUUUUAAGGGUAAAAUACAAUUUGACAAGUGACAUAUCAGAAAAAUUGUAAGAGUAAUCACGCCUUGUUUUUAAAGAAGUGUUGUGGAAGUUGUGUUAAAGUGAUUAAUUUGUUGUGGUGGCUAAGUGUUAAUUAUGUGUGUUUUAAGGUUUUCUAUUUAAAUUUUUUCUUUUGAAUUUUUAUUAUUUUCGUAGUUGGUUUAUUUUUAAAUUCUGGGUAUUUAUUGGUAAGAAAUAGCUUAUUGGUACAGUGGUAAAAUUUUAGUUUAUUUAGAGGUUUUGUGUUUGAAUCUUGUGCAUAUAAUUUUGCUUGAUCUCUCUGUGUCAUUUUCUAAGAAAUCUAAUAGGAUUUAUAUAAAUAAAUAUUUUAUGUUAUUUAAAAAAAUUUUGGAAUAUCCCCAAAAAUCCCUCCACCCUUCACUCAUUUUUUGUUUUCACGUUAACUUGUUGCCGAAAAUUUUGAGAUUUCUUUCUUUUCUUUUUUUCGAGUUUGCUCUUUUUUCUUACCCUUUACAUUUUUACCAUCCCAAUUUCGGUGGCUGGUGUUCUUCUUUGUGCUGGUGUUGGUUGUGUGUGGUGUAAGUAUCGAUUAAGAGUAUGGCAUUAUCGUUAGUGUUAUAAUACUUCUUUUUGUUAAGGUUCUCUGGUGUUGGAGUAAUCUUUUAAGUGGUUUAUGGUUCUUAGUCUGAUCAUCUUAAUGUGCUGGUAGAAGAAGAUCGUGAGACGCGUGUUUUACCUUCGGUGAAUUAGGGGAUUUUUAAGACUGUUAUACUGUUGGGUAAGUAAUUGAAUGUCUCAAAGGGGCUGAUUAUUGGUGUUAAGCCCGAAUUUUUAACGCUUGUGGCCAAAUUAACGAUUGGAUUUUGGUGCAUUGAUGCUAAUUAGUUCACUUUGAAUGCUGGUUUUAGGGUCUGGAAGUGUGAUGUAUCAUCAUUUUCCAAAAACGUUAGGUGUGUAACUCUAAUUCCGUAAAAUUAGUGAUUGGCGCGAAGCCGAAAAGCUUACUGUCAACACAACAUGAACAUGUAGGCCCAAUUUCAGUAAAAUUUAGUGAGGGCCAUGUUUGAAGUGUGUUUCAAGGUUAGCUUCUCCGUAAGGUCUAUUAUGUGAUAUGUGUAAUUCCGAUAUAUGAAAUUUGUGGUAUUGAUAUUGUAAAUGUAACACCUAAAAGCAUGUUUGUAGCAUAAAUUCUGCAUUUGAUCCACAAAUCUGAGAAUUUUGCUAACAUGUUUUUGAUAUGUUAAAGCAUGAUUCAUCUAUGUGCAUUCGAGUAUGUAUUAUGUUUCAGCACGUACAUUGGGGUGAGAUAAUUAUGUGAUGGAGGAAGUAUUGACAGUUUAAUGAUCUACUUUAUUUGGUGGUGUAACCACAUAUCUUUUCUGGCAGCUUGACUGCAAUUCUGGUGGCUUGACCACACUUAUCUAACUUUGGCAGAUUAACGUUGUAACACCUCUAACCCGUAUCCAUCGUCGGAACAGGGUUACGAAGUACUACUAGAGUUUACAGAUCAAAUACAGUUAAUUCAUAUCAUUUACUAUUCAUUUUUGAAAACUAAGUGUCGAAACCAUUUUUUUGGUAAAAGGGGUCGACUUGGAUUUUAAAAAAAUGAAAACGAAUAUAGGAGUCGCCACCAAUCCUUUUUAUUAGGUGUGAUCGGAUCACCUCACAAUUUGAUCGUUUUAAUAAAUAGUUUGAUUUAUUAAAACAUUAUUUUUUGGUCUACAAAAAUCCAGAAAACGGGUUCGGGAGUCGGUUAUGCAUGAGGAAGGAUUAGCACUCUCGAUACGCCCAAAAUUGGUACCUAGUUGAUUACUUAAUGUCUUGGUGUCGAAAAUUAAAAACUUGAAAAGAAUUUAAAAUACGAUCCCUCUUUAUAUUGUAUUAUUUUUAUUAAAAUUACUCGAAUAAAUCAAAAUGUGUAAAAUACAUUCUUAUCUCGAAGUAACAAAAUGUCACAUCAAGUAAGUUAGGACACGACACCUCGUAUUUUUGAGAAUAAGCUUGCCUUUUAUUUUUUUAUUUAAACCUCAUUUAUUUUAAUUUUAAAAGGAUAUUCAGUUAUUUAGGUUUAACACGAGAAAAAUCGAAACCCAGUAAAUUAGGGCACGACUUAUUGAAUUUCCAAAUACGGAAUAUUGCAUUUAUUUUAAAAAAAUUUUAUGUAUCGGGUAAAUAUUAAUAUAACACGAAUUGAUAGUAAAAGUGUAAAAAUAAAUUACGGUGUUAAUAUGCAUAACGGAAUAAUAAUAAAUGCGUUUAUAUGAAUGACAAUAUAAAGAAUAAAAUAAAAUAAACAAGCUAAAAAUAACAAAAACAAAUAAUAAGGAUAACAAACUAAAAAUUUAAAGUUAAAGACUUAAUAUUAGAGAAAUAAAUAAAUAAAUAUUGUAUAAAACAAUUUAAGAAUAAUAUUAAUAUUAAUAAUAAUGAUGAUGAUAAUAAUAAUAAUAAUAAUAAUAGAAAUCUAAAGUUUAAAUAUUAUAUGAAAGAAUAUAAAUAACUAAAAUGACAUAAUAAAAUAAAUAUAUUUAAAAUAUUUAGAUAAAUAAAUAAAUAAGGAAAUAUAAUAAUGCAAAACUAAUUAAUAAAAUAAUAUAGUAAUAAUAAUUAAAUAAAUAAAAGGAAAAAUAAUAAUACUAAUGAUAAUAAUUAAUUAAUUAAUUAAUAACAUAGCAAAAAUGACAAAAAUGAUUAAAUUAAACUUUAAAACAAAAUUUGGGGGCAAAUCAGAAAGAAGUAAAAAGGGAAGGACUAAUAUGAACACGCGAAUAACACGGAGAGACUAAAUGGGAAAUUCUUCCUUCUCCUCCAAAACGGCGUUGUUCAAAUAUGAACCGAACUGAAAAUUGAAAUAAAUCAUAGGACAAAAUUAAAAAAAAGACUUAAUUGCGAACAAUAAAAAAGCGGAAGGACCAGGGGUGUAAAUAACUCAAAAGGUGAAAACACGCAGAUCCCCCCGAGAGCGGGUUGGGUCUCACGCGGAUAGGCCCUAAACGGCAUCGUUUUGGCACCUAGGUUCCUAACCCAAAACGGCGCAGUUUUGUUUCCUUAUUUAAACUCUUUUUUUUUCUAAAAACUUCAUUUUUUUUCUUCUUUCUCAAAAAAAGGGCCCAAAAUUCUCUCAAUUUUCUCUCUGGCCAUUGCCCAGAAUCCGGCGUAGAAUAUGAAAAUUCUCCUUCCAAAGUUGUUUCAUGAAAAAAAUAGAAUUGUAGAAGAGAAGAGGAAGGAGCGAUUCCGAUUGGUGCAUGCAGUGUGAACAGAGAAAGUCUUAUUGCAUCGAUUUUAACAGUUCAGUGACUUAAAUUAAAAAGUUUAAAUAAUUCAAUGAUCAAACUGUAACUUUUUUAGUUAAGUGACCAAAACUAAAAUUUAUUUAUAAUUUAAUAACUAAUUAUAUAGUUUAAAAAAAAAAGAAAAGGGAAAGAAGUGGUCCACAAGACUACAAGACUAAGGAGGAAAGCUUUCACCGCCCACUUGCCAAAUUUCCCUUACACCAUAGACGACGUCACUAUUUCUCGCGCUUUAUCUGCUUGUACUUUUGCCACCCAGCCAAUCCUACCCAUCCUGGCGCAUUUUAGCAACUACCCCUUCCUAGUUUCCCACAAAGCAAACUGGGAGCUUCCUUUGGCUUACGUAAACUCCCAUUAGAUAUUUUCACCAGCAAAAGCUUAAGCAUCACAUAUUACAUGCAGAUAACAACAAAAGAAAGAAGGUACCCAUUAUAAUUUUACACACAAAGCAAUAAAAAAAUUGUACGAGUCAUAAAAGGAGGGCAGCACAAAAAACUGGGAGAAAUACUGGGUGUGCAGUGUACCUCUGGGUGUUUACUGUUUAUUUUUUUGAAACCUGUAUAUACUCUUUAGCUAUACGUUAUUGUUGUACAGGGUGGUCCAUUCAUGAACCUUUUUGACCCUCUUCAUUUUUUUGUAAGUAGUGUAUGUGUGAAUUAUCAGUAGCUUGACUGUGAGUUUAAGUUAUGUAGGGUUUUCAGUGGUGGACUGUUGCUAACUAAACAGGGUUUUGUGAUCCAUGCAGAUUGUUAGAGAUUUUGGGGAUUGGAAUGGGACCUAGCUAUUAUAAUCACAAAAAAAGUGUGUUUUCGGGGUUAUCUAGGACAAUUGAGUCUUAGCACGGUUGAUAUCGGUAUUAUUGUUAAUGCAUGAUAAAAUGGGUUCGAGUGCGUUGAAGCAAAUUAUUCUCCUAUUGAAAAGUUAGGGAGAGGUUAUGGGUAGUACUAAGCAUUGUAUAAAAAAAACAGAUAUGAUAAUAUCCUAUAAUAAGAUAAAUAUUUAAAAAAGAAAGAAAGAAAAGGGGCUAUUUAGAAGUUAUCAAAUUAUCCAUGGGAUAAAUAAAAAAUUAUAUAUAAACUUUGAUAUAAUUUAUAAUGUUAUACAUCAACUUUAAUUUGAUGCAUUUGCAUACAUCAAACUUUAAUUUUAGUUCAAUUUUCACAUUUGACUAAUCUCGUUAUUUAUGUGGCACAUUUUUUUCAUUAAAUCAUGUGUAAAUUACUGACAUGAUAUUUUAUUAAAUUAAAAAAUUAAUUUUAAAAGAAAAAAACACAUUUGGGAAAAUGGUUUUUUAUUUCCCCCAAGAAAGUUGUUUCUUUAAUCUAGUUGAUAAUACUUUUGGUAUUUAUCCCAUUAUCUAUUAAAAUCUCUAGCAAUUAAAAUAAACAAUAAUUGAACCUCAUGUGAUAGCCUGAUAGUCAAGGGUGUUUACCGCCCCAGGUAUGACCUGUGUUUGAGUUGCGCUAGUCGCAUUUAUUGUUUGGGCUUUGCCCUGUUAUUGUAAUUCACUAAUUCACAAGAAAAAAAAACAAUAAUUUACCAAAAGAUGUUGGGUGCAGGGUAAAGUACCUUACAUUUGUUAAGGGAGACACGUACACGGGCAUAGGUAAAAUUACACUUUGGCCCCUAAAAAUGAUAAAAAUUUGAUUUAAUCUUUUAAAAAUUAUAAAGUUAUAGACUAUUCAAAUGGUGAAAUUACAUUUUUACUAUCAUAAAAAUUAAAAUUUAAUUUCGGGCUCCCCUAAAAAUUUUCUUACCUUCACCCUUAGACACGUAUUCAAACCUUAGAGAUGAUAUUGUGUUUUUUCUUCAAACAAAAGAGAAAAGGAUCUAGAGAAUAAAAAACCAAUAAUUUAAGCCAUUUAAAAAAAUCAUAAAAAUAAAAUGAGCUCCGUUGAAAUCGGUUAAAGAAAAAAAUUGUAGUUAAUUAUUAUGAAGUCUUUUGAUUUUUUUUUUAAAAUAAUAAAAUUUAAUCAAAGAUAAGAAAAUCAAACUCAAUUCCCUCUCAUCAGUUUUUUCUUAAAAUAUAGUAUUUUAGAUUUUCUUUCACUAAUUUAAAUGUAAUUAUUAUUUUUAUAUUAUAAAAAUAAAAAACUAAUUAUAAAAUAAAUAAAUGAAAUAAAUUUGUUUCAGUUUAAAUAAUUAUUAUUUUUAGCUUGUGAACCAAAAAUAAAACUGAAACAAAUUUCGUGCUAGUUCUCCAUUGUUGUUGUUUCUAAAAAGUGCGGGUAGAAAAGUGUGAUUUGUUAAUUUUUAGUAUUCUCCGUUGUUGCAAAAAUUGUGAUUGAAAGUUAAAAUGUCAUUUUUCGACAUGAUAGCAGAAAGUUAAAAGUUAGUUAAGUUAUAUAAUAUUUAAGUAUUUAAUAUAUUGGUACAUGAAGUAUAAAUUUUAAAUACUUUUAAGUAAUUAAUAUAAAUUAUUUGUAAAAUUAAUUAUGCAUAAGAUAUAAAUUAAUCUAAUUUUUUAUAUAAUUUUUACAUAGUUAAUAUAAAUAAAGGCAUUUUGGUAAUUUUCGUUUGCAAUCGCAAAAGCCAAGAUACCUAAAUCCUGACUUUUACUUUUGGGUGGAAAAAUACUUUUCUUCAAUAGUUUUGACCUCAAAAAUUAAGUGUUCUUCAUUAUUUCUAUAACGAAAAUACACUUUUGAAACCCCAAACACAGUGAAGAACGGAUCUUUAAUAAAACAUAAUGAUUUUAAAUAGAUUUCUGUUAUCUUUGUUAAACCCAGGUUUUAAUUACUAAUUGGGUAAGAUUGUUGUGCUAAUUUAAAAAAUAAGAUUUUUAUUAAUUUUUAUAUUUUUAUAAAUUAAAUUAGAUAAAAUAUUUUUAAUAUUAUAAACAAUAGUUCGGGUUAGUAUAAAUAAAUCAAUCAAGACAGACCUGAACCGGAGAGACUGUCCGACCGGUUAAGGGGGGGUAGGGUCUUUCGUGCUUAGAAUGGAGCGUACAUUUUGGGGCGGUACUUACGGUGCUUGGAGCAUGGGGUUGUCUUUGCUUCCCUUAGCAUCAAUAUCUUCUAAGCUUGUCCCCAAAGACAUUCCAUCAAAUAUGUUAUAACAUAUUUUGCGUUUUGUCCUUUUAAUUUUAGGGUUUAAGGACCCCACUGGAUUAACCACUUUAAUCAAUAGAAACUCAUUCAUACAGGGGCUCAACAUAUUCUUAUGUACUUUUCACGUGCAACGCUAGCUAUCAAGUCAGAUUGAGAUCCACUCAGAGUCUUUCUAUUAGAUUCGAGAAAAUUUCCAAGAAUUCAGUGCGGACUUUAAGAGAGUAAAAUUAAUCUCCAUCUAAUCACAUCUUAACACAACACUCCAAAGUUUUAUCAUUAGCACUCCACGAUCCUACAUAGAACAAAACACUUAUUUAGAUCAAUUAAGUUUCGAACCUUAAAUGGCGAUAGUCUAGUAGCCAAAAGCAUCACUAGUUUAUAUUUUAACAAGAGUAGCGUGGGACAGAUGGAAUUUUGUGUGGAUUAGAGGCUAAAUACUCCUAGAUGAUCAAUAGCGAAAUAGAAGAACAUAAAACUAUAAGCUCCCAAGGAGGAGCCCAAAGCUCCAAUUACAUGCCUUUUGAAGAAUGGGUUGGCAACUCAUAGGUAAUGGUUUGAUUUGAAACUUUCCAAACAUUUCCAAUCCUCAUUGGUGAUUUAUUGAUACAUUAAUGUCAACCACCUUCUAAGUUAUUUUUAUUUUAUAUUUUAUAUAAUAUAAGUUCAAACUCGCACACUCACAUCCACACAUGCACAGAUAAAUCUACAACCAAACUUUAGUAUCAAGCAUAAAUAAAUUCACUUUAGCUAACCCGAACCACGUUCAAUUCAAAUAUAAAACUUGAUAUUUUUAUCAAAUGACGAAAGGCAAAAGGCAAAACUUGUUACAUAAGGGAUGAUGCAAUUUUAUCAAAACCAUUCACAUAAAAACAAAUGGUUUAAGAAAAAAAAAAGAGCCAACAUUGAAAUCAUAAAAUAAAAAAGACUUGAGCUGUUUCGUGAAGCUAUUUAUGUGUUGUUGACCGGUAACUAAACAAGUUGAUAUAUUUGGAAUAUGAUUCCAUCUUUAAAAACAAAAACAAAAAACCCAAUCAAAUUGAUGAGCAUGUUCUUAGGGUUGUUUUCAUUAUAUGUAAUAUAAAUGCUUUUAGUUUUGAGAGAAAUUUGAGUUUUAGCUCGAUUGAUAUGGGUAUUAUUGUUAAUACAGAAGGAUAUGAGUUCGAGUGCACUGAAAUGUAUUAUCCUCCUAUUUAUGAGUUAAGGGUAAUUCUAGAUAUUAUCUCAAAAAGAGCAGAUAUAAUCAAAACUCAUAAAUAGAACUACCCAUAGCCCCUCCCAAACUCAUAAAGAGCUUAUUUAAUGUUAUGGGUUGAUUUAGGUAUAAAUUAAUUAAUCUAAACAUGAAAUUUAUAGUGGACCACAUGGUCAAAUAUAUGAAAUGAGAGUGUGAAGUGUAAAAUGUGAACUUUUCAUUCUUUCAAGUGUAACCAUAGCUUUAUUCCUUUCGUUUUUUAUUCCCACUAUUGUGGGAGACAUUGCAAUUUGUCACAACAAGUGUGCUCCUAUAAUAGACCACCAAAGAAGGUCCACAUGAAAAAGCAAAAAUAAUAAUAUAAAUUAAUAUUUCUUCUUUGGUGGGCCAAUUUAUGAUUUUUUUUAAAGACUUAUAGGUAAGGGUUAUUUUGUUUUAUUUUCAUUCAUAGCCUCCAUACCAAAUUUCAAAAUCUCCACCCAUUCUUUGUUAACCAUUUAUGGACUUUCAAGAACCCUAAGAUUAUACUUCCCCAAAACAAGUUAACCAUCCAUCAAAUUCUGCAUAAUAAAAAACUAGCUGGCCCCUUCUUUAACAUUAUUGUUUAGUGAAAGUGAAAGAUGGGAUUUGAUAUCUCAAUCCAAAAACACUAUUUUCUAAUCACUUUUCUAAAUCGUAUAUCUUUACAAAAGUUCGUGUAAGGACCAUAUUUGACUUGCUAGCUAUAGCUUUAUGCAUGUACAACAAUAUGGCAUUAAUCAAGACAUUUGAAAUAAGACUACUCAUUUGAACAUUUCAAUCCAUUAAUUCUGCAACUUACUGUAUAUAUAUAUAUAUAUAUAUAUAUGAGGGAUGAGUGUUCCAGAUGCUUGAACUUAGAUACAAACAUAUAGGCCUUAUUUAGCAAUUAGCUCAUAGUUGAUCAAUCAAUUGCAGUGAUUGGUUUGAUCAAUUGAUUCUAUUAAUUGUUUAUUUAAAAAUGUUUGGUAAAACUUAACUGAUAGAGGAAAGCUGAUAUGUGUAAAAGGACAAAUAAGGGUAUGCCAUAUUUUAUUGUUAAGUAUUUAUUUGUUUAUAAUACUUUAGUCUGUGAAAUUAUUGAAAUAAAACACUAUUAUCAAGGAAUUAAAACAUCCAUUAUGGAAAUUAAUUAGUGAAUAUUUUUUGAAAAUUUAAAUAAACAAAUUUCUUAAGUUCCUUACUUGCAGAUAUUAACAUUGUUGAAAUUGAUAUAUUAAUAGUAUAUCAAUAAAAUUGUACAUAGUGGCAAAGUAAGUAAUUUUUGAGCAAACACAGUCAGAUAUGUCAUUCCACAUAUUUCAUUCCCAAUCAACUGUGGAAAAAAGUUUUUCAUCCUAACGUUUUUUUGUUUUGGAGGUUUUAGCUCAACAAGCUUUUACAAAACUCCAUUCACCAAACACCACAAUUAGAGGAUUUGACUACCCAAUCCUCCAAUUGUGCACAAAUCAUCUGAAAAAGCCCCAAAACUCUGUUCACCAAACACCCUAUAAUACUUUACUAUUUUAUUAUCCCAAAGUUUAUGGAAGACAAAAGAUUUGGUUAAAGCUUAGAGUGCCAAAAGAGAAAAAGAAAAUGACAUUUGCAAAUUAUCAACAUCAUGCUAUCCUCUAAUGUAAAUAAUCAUUUUCAAGUCUAGCUAGUUUAUCUUUUGUGUUGCCAUUUUUAUGCACUUCAUCACUAAAUAUAUAUGGUGCCGAGUUGACACCAAAUCCAAUCACAUGAUACUAGGAAUGAUUUUACUAAUGGAUAUUUUUAAAAUACUUUUAUUAAUUUCUUAUAUUAAUUCCUUGACAAUCCUUUUCCCUCCUAUUAAAACUGGCCAAAUAAAAGAAUAAUAAAUUAGGUAAUUUUUAAAAAAAAUAUUUUAAGGGUGUAUUUUUUUGUGAAUUACAAUAAUAAGGUAAAGCUUGAACAACAAACGCAACUAAUGCGACUCAAAUCUAGGCCAUACUUGGGGCAGUGAACACUCUUGACCACCAUGCCAUCACAUGAAGUCUAACAUUUACCAAUAAAUUAACCAUAUUCAAUAAUCAUAUUACCAAAAAUAAUCUUAACCCAUUGCCACAAAGUCUACCAAUUUGGAAAAUUGAGACGUCAAACAUCAAAAUGAAAUUGAUUUGAUCACAUAAUUAAUCAUGACCUUACAAAUUUUGUUAUCCUUAUCAGCAUCAAUCAAAGUCCACAUAAUACAAAUUAGUGCACGCGGUUUGGUGAAAAAAUAAUCAAAAAAAUGUUUUUAAAAAUAUCCCUUUUUGUUCGAUUCUAACAGUUAUUUGUUUGCUAGCAUUUUGGACUGCGAAUGGAUUAAAAAGAGGAUUAAAUUGCAAGCUUUUCUUGCUUGCUAGAUAACCCUAGUUUUGUCACCAAUCCCCAUCGCAUGCUUUUGAAGAUGGAGCAAAUUUGGAAAAAAAAUGCUGGUUUUAAAAAAUAUUUGGAGAAAUAAGUUGAUUUUGGAGAGAGAGACGAAAAAUAUAUCUUACAAGAAGCGUUUUCUGACCCUUUUGACACACCAACUUCUUUGAUCAAAUGGUUAAAUAAUAUUGAUAUUGUUCUUGAGUCCUACGUUCAAUUCUUCUUUUAAUCACAUUUGUAUUUUUAAUUCAUUUUUUAAUUAAUAACUCUUUUAUUUUUGUGGUUAAAUAAGCCUCUGACCUGUAAUUUUUACUCAUGAAAGCCAUUGAUUUUGAUAUUAAAGUAUAAAAAAUUAAAAUUUAAACUAGUUAAUUUGCAUUUUACGCUGUUGUGAAUUUUAAAAUAAUAAUUUUUACAAUAAAACAAAAUAAUAUUUUAAAAUUUCUUGAAAGUGCUUAUAUAUGUAACACACUUAAUCACUCUUUUUAAAAUUUAAGUUGAUGUUAAAAGUGUAUAGAAUUUCUAUUGCAUCAACAAGAAAUUAAGAUAAGAGCUUGAAAUUCAAAAUAAUUUUACUUUAAUAUUAAAAUCAAGGAGUUUUAUGGGUAAAAAUCAUAGGAAAGGGGCUUAUUUAACUAUAAAAAGAGUUUAAGGGCUUGUUUCAAUGAAGUGUAUUGGUUUAGGGAUUUUUAGUAUAUUAGCCAUCUGGUAACUUCUUUUCCAUAAUAGAAUAACCAGAGAUUCGAACCAACACCAGAAAUUUUAUAUUUAAAAAUUGUUGGAAAAAAUGAAUAUAUUUGCAUAUUUGUGGAUUUAAACUAAUGUGAAUUCAUCAAAAUUAAAAACAUUUGUUUUUAAACCCAUGUAAUGGCCAGAUGGUCAAAAGCGUUCACUGCCCUAGAUAUGGUGUAGGUUCGAGUAGCGCUAGAUGUGUUUGUUGUUCAGAUCUUGUCCUGUUAUUAUAAUUCACCAAAAAAAAAAACCUAAUUUCCAUACAUUUUCAUUUUCCAAACAAAACACAAUUUUUUAGUGGUUUCCAUUUUCCAUAAAAAAAUAAAGUCUCAAAACCAAACUUUUUAAUCUCUUCUCAAUUCUAUAGUUCAUAAUUCCACAAAUUUCAUUUAAUUAGCUUUUCUCGGCCGGAAAGUGAUGGAAAAGAACAAAAUAAAGAAAAGGGGGGGCCAGCUCGAGAAUCCAAAAGAAGGAAAGCAGCCUGAGGAAAAAGGCUCAAGUGGCUGCCAUUGUUUGUCCAUGUGAAAGGUGAUUUCAUAUUCAAUCCAAUACCCUGAAAUUUUAGGUCCACACACACUUGCCAUCUCCAUAUAUCUAUGCAACUUUGUACCAUGUUAUAUACACAUAGUUGGUACAGCACUUACCUUGCAUGUUGGGGCAGAUUUUAUUUUAAUCCUCAAGCUUCAUGCUUAAACUAUGUAAAGUUACAAGACAAGUUUUGCUAAUGCGACAAUUGGAUCAAACACAGGCUAGUUAUCAAGCCAAGCAAUGGUUGAAAUGUCCCAUGGUUGGUUUGGCAGCUUCCCUCCUUUGACCCUAGUGGUCCAGCCUUUACAACUUCUGCUCAUUCUUCUUAUUCAACUUUGUAUCUUGCCCUGCACGAAAUUGAACUCUAUUUGCUCAUGCGUAAGGAUAAAGAAAAAGGUUCCAAAUGCAUGUUGGCUCGGGUUAGACGGAAUCUCAAACCUUUUAGAUGUUGCUUUUUAAAAAAAAGUGGUUGUAUGAAUCAAACUUGAUUAAAGCUUGGGUUUCAUGAAAAAUGUCAAACUUGUUAGAUACCACCUUUCAAAAAUGGUUGUAUGAAUCAAACUAAACUAAAUCUCGUGUUCUUAUGACAAAAUUUGUUUGGGGUAAAGGAUAAAGCUUCUAUAUGGAACUUAGAUGACAUAGGUACAAGCUGAACAUAAAAAAUUUUCAUCAUAUAUAUAAUAGAAACUAACCUAUUUAAGGGUCGGUCUACUCGCCCAAAUGUGAAGGCUUAUCCAAUAUAUAAAGUAUUUGGACAAAAAGAUAUUAGAUAUGUUCUAUUAACUUAUAUCUUCCCCACACAAAAUCAUCAUACCUUUUUUUUCAGGUCAUAGGGUAGAUAAAGAAAAGGGUUACAAAUGCAUGUCGGUUGGGUUAACUGGACAUACAAUAAUAACAUUCUCCCUUGAUAUGUCCCUUGUCUAGGUAUGGUAGCGAGCCCAGUAAUUAAUCUUUCACAUUUUGUAAGCCCAUUAAGGAGUAGAUGCUGACCACAUAGUAAUAACAUUCUCCCUUGUCCACGUAUGACAAUGAGCCUAAUGACUAAUCAUCUGCAUUCUAUAGGCCCAUUAAGAAAAUAAAUGUUGACCACAAGUUUUAAAGCUGCUCCAUACUCAGGGUGAGGAUCGAACCCUCGACCACUAAUUAAGUUAGGAGAUACCAUUUCCAUCUCAUCUAACUCUCGUGAUUUCAUUUUUCAUAAAUAAUGUAUGAAUCAAGUUGAAUUAAAUUUCGAGUUCACGUGAAAAAAAAUCUGUGAAUAUAUAGUAAUAAUUUUCUCCUUUGAACAUAAUUGUCCCUUGUCCACAUAUGGCAACCUUUUCUACCAUAUUUUUUUUUGGGUAGUUAAGUGGAAAGACAUGGAAUUUGAAUUUAAAAUAUGAUUAUCAAUUUAUGUAUGGAAUUUAAGUUUAAAGUACAAAUAAUCAUGGUAAUGCUAAAAGUAUUUUGGAGGCCUUUGUACUAAAAGUCAGAUUACAUUUUCUUCCUUCUACUUAUAAAAUGAGUAAUUUAGUCCCUAUAAGUUAGAUUCUACUAAAAAUUCCAUCCAUUUCUACCAUUAAAAAUUGAUCCUCGACGUGAGGUACAUGUGAUGUGCCAUGUGUAACUAUCUGAUUAUUCUAUAAUUUUAAUUGAAAAAAAUAAUUUAUUCUUUAACCUAAGAUAUAAAAAUUAAUUUACUCAUUUUUUGAAUAAAUUCGUCGUAAUUUUCAAACAAACCACCAAUGAUCGAAUUAGUAGUUGUGAUUUAAUUUAUAUAUAUAUAUACACUGUUCAAUUUCUUCGUCUCCCAUUUCUAAACGUCGAUCAAAGUCAAUAAGCAAGUUGCCUGUUAUAUAUGAUGAAUUUGAUGAUACCUUAAGAACCACACAAUAUCCAUAACAAUGUGCGGUUCAACAUUAGCUACAAAUUUUAAUUAGAAUUUUUUCAACUAAUUAUAAACUUGUUAUUUGGGUUUUGUUUUUUUAGUCAAAAUGGUUGAAUUUAUGACCAAAUUGAUUCAAAUUUAUAUGAUAUUGGUUUUCAUCCAUUUAAUUAUUUUUAUUCUUUUGUCAAAUUAAUCACGCACAUGGUUUGAUUUUUAAUCCACAAUUUCCAAUCAAAGUGGUCACACUUUUGAAUAUAUAAUCAACAAAUUGAUAUUUAAAAAAUAAAAAAUAAAUAGAUGAAACAUAUGUUGGAUUUUCAGUUGUCACUUGAGAAUCUUUUUUUUAAAACAAAAAUGCAUAUAUUAAACGAGAAAAAGCACGGAGAAGAUGAGUACAACUCGAGGCUCGAGCCAAUAGGUCUACCUCACACACUUGAGUCUUAACGUCCCACAAUUUCAUCGAAAGACAAGACUGAAUUAUCAAAAGUUAAGUCUAACAAAAAAGGAAGGGAUAAAGUGUCUCGUUCAGUAUGGUUUACAUAUAAUAAGACAACCUGGAAAAGGGAAUGAGAGUCACCAUAUUAGCACCCUACUGAAACAAAGAACUCAACAUCAAAUAAUUGUGCAUCAAUUAUACUAAAUUUGGAAACCUCCGUCAAUGACUCAUUCAAAGCAUUCAGUUGAGAAAUUAAAAAAAACUAUAUGGUUAAUAUAUCAAAUAAUAUUUUAAACUAAAAUGAUUUUCAUAUAACUCUUUUUUUCUUCCUUUUCUUCGUGAUUUCGUGCAACUAGAAAUCUAGGCAGAGCACUGCAAGGACAGCUCAAAAACAAGUGAUAUUUAGUACUUUUAUAUAAUAGCAAAGAAUGUUUAGUUAGUACUAGUAAUUGGUUCAUCCAUGGGAAAUUUCUUAGCUUUGAUCUUUUUCCAAAUAUAUACCUUAAACAAUCUUUUUUUUGUGUGUAUAAUUAGUCUCCAAUUCUAGUUUGGAAGUGAAUCUUAAUGAAGAGCUUUUUUUUUUCUUAAAUAAUAUCAUUAUAGGUUCUGAUCAUAUAAUUUUUUUUGACACAAUGCCUAAAACUAUCCAUAACCCCUCCCUAACCCAUAAAUAGGAGAAUAAUGCACUUAUGUGCACUCGAACCCAUGUCCUCCUGCAUUGACAACAAUGUCCAUGCCAAUCGAGCCAAGACUCAAUCGACUUAAUGAAGGACUUUAGACAAGUCUAAUUAAACGUUUUUAAGUUGUGGUCCAAAUAUUAAAUUGGUCCACAAAACUAAAAAGUAUUCUAAUUGAAUUCUCGGAGUAUGAAUAUUAUAUCAAUUAGAACUUUUCAUUAGCUUAGCCAUCAAUUUGGGUAUUAAAUGCUAGCUUCAAUCUGUAGUAGAGUAUAUUUAAAACAUACUGAUCAAAUUUUAAUUAAGUGUGCAUCUAUCACAUAGACAAACUUGGAUCUCACAUGUUUUUAAAAAGAAAGUAGGUUGUGCUUUUUUAGCACGUUAGACCUAAGUUGUCCAUAUAGUAAUCAUACACAUGUUUAAAAUUUGAUUCAUGUAUUUUAAAUACACUUCAUAUCAUAUCUCGAGCUGCCAUUUAAUGCCCAAGGUAAUAGCUAGAUACCGAUAUUUGAAAACUCAAGUAGAACAUUUUGAAAUUUGAGGAUCAAUUUAAAAUCAAUGAAAUAGUUUGAGGGCAUCAAGUGCAAUUAACCCUCCCAAAAAAAUUCAUAAACCCAUUAAUCGUCCAAGUCAUGUAGAGUGCUUUUGUCAGCAACAUUGUUUAAUCUUAAACAAUGCAUCGUUCCCUCAAAACUUAUCUUAUUCAAGUGUUUAAUUAAUCAUAUUUUUGGACACAUACAUUUGAACUUUAAGUAAUCAAAUGGGGAUUUUUAUAUCUUUUCCUCUCUAUUUUUUUAUCCACGGAAGAGGUUAAGGUAUAGCUUUAGACCAAUGUGAUUUCGACAGACAAAAUAACCUAUGUCAUGUCGGAUGAUGACAAAAAUGGAAAGAAAAUAAAAUAUUUGGGAAAAUUCAGGGGGGUAUAAGAGAAGGUAAACUUAGUAAAUAUCCAACAAUGGUAAUUAAUUUUCUUAGUGAGGUUCCUCAAAACCCAUAAGACUACAACUUAAUACUUUCCAUGCAAUUUCCUCAAAUCAAAGUUUAAAUUUGAAGUCUUGUAGUACCAUACUUUGGUAUGUUUCGUCCAUUUUUAUGAGUUUUAAAGUGGGAUUGUUUGUAUGUUUUCGAUCCAAAGAUUUCUACAAUUAAAAGCAUUGGAAAAAGUUUAAUAUAGUAUGGUCCAAAGAAUAAGUUCAUUAAUGGCUUGAGAUUGAAGAAAGCAUCAAAAUUUCAUAUAUACUGAAAUUAUAUAUUUAUACUGUUAUAAUAAACAUUGAUAAUGUCAGUAGAAUGACAGCAAAACAAUAAUAAAAGAAAAUAAGAACACAGAUUUUACGUGAAAAUCUUUUUUUGAAAAAAAAAUCACGGGAAAAUGAGGAGAAAUUAACUAAUAUUAAAAAACGGAUGAUACAAGAGGAGUUUUGACUACAUCAAUUUAAGGGUUUUUCAACCCUGUUCUAAUCAAAGUUAAAUAGAAGAAGUAUAGUUCUAUACGGACUCAACUUGUGCCCCCACAGAUCUCCUUAUUUUGCCACUGUAUUUAUUUCUUUAACAAAUAUUAGAAUUUGAGUCACACAAUCUCUAAUAUAUACAACACUAAAUCAAAAACCUUUUUAAAAUUUAUGGAUUUAGUUAAGCAAAGUGUUUGAUCCAUUAGUCAAGAGUAUUUAUCCUAAAUUUGUGUCGUAAGAUCAAAUUAUAGGAAUUGCAUACUAGUGAUGUAUGUGUAUAAGGAAGUGAUUUACUCCUACCAAUUUUACGUGAAUUGUAAAAAUAAAAUUAUACGAAUUCCUUAGCUCAUAAACAAAGUCUAGUCAAGAGUUGUUCAUCCAUAAAACUUAUUUGAGUUCAAGCCUUCAAAAGAGCAAGUGGUAGACCUUUUUUCAGGCAACACCCUUUAGACGCAGUGUGUAGUACCCUCUGAAAUAUGUCUCUACUGUGUGUGAAUAUUAACCCUCUAACUGUACAGAAUAAUAAUAAUAAUAAUAAUAAUAAUAAAAAACUACAAAAGGGUGGCAAACAUGUAAUUGGAGCUGAGCCCAUCAAAAUCUUUCAUACCAAUUAAUAACGAGCUGGGAUCAGCCAAGUGUGGGUCAAUGGGCUGCAUUCCGUUUCUAACUUAAUUAGUAAGCCCGAAUUAGCAUCAAUCGAUACCGGAAAGUGCCCGUCUAAUCAUUGCCAUUUUAUCUUUAUCGAAUUUUAAUUCAUAUUUAUUUUUUUGGUAUUUAAAAUUUUUUUAUUCUAUUUUGAUAGUCGAAGUACAUUCAUGAAUUAAUCUAAUUAAAAAUAUUCAAAUUAAAUUAGAACCUUUUAACAGAAUGGUUGAGUGUGAGAUUAAUUUUUUUAUAUAUUUUUUAAAAAUAGAGAAAACCAGUUCAAUCGGUUUAUAUCAAUUUGAGAGUCAAUUGAUCUAACUUCUCUAAUUGAAUCAAUACCCCAUCUUAUUUUGGUCCAAUUGGUCUUACUAGUCAAUCUGGUCUGGUUCAAACAACAUUAAUUGAGGGGGUUGACUCAUUUAGAAGAAGUCUUUGAAGUGUCGCCCACCAGGCAAUUAGUCGAGCCCUCAACAAUGCUAGAUGUUAUCCUUAGGACAUGUCAAGGUUUUGUCUACCGCCUCUGUCAAGAGCCAUGUACGUAUGGUUCACAGAGGUGGAGCGCCUCAAGGCAUUAGUCUGUACAUGAGUGCACCAGGCAACCCCCUUAGAGGGAGAUAGGACUAAGCGGAGCAAAAAGGGAUUUCCACGAGACGGGAAAUGAAAACUAUUAGUCCCGCACGAAGUUUGUGAAUAAGUGAUUAUCUAAUAAUGAGUAAGGAAUAUCUGCCUUUCUGCUAAACAUGAUGUAUUGAAUCAUGAUUAGAUACUUUUUUAUGAAUGUCAACUAAGUAUCAUAAGUAAAUUGGUUCGACAAAAGCGAGAGACAAAACCUUAAUAUGACCCGAGAACUAUCCUUGCCCAUUGUUGGGGACUUGGUCGACUGCCUAGCUAAUAACAUUUUGAAGACUUCUCUCGAAGGAAUGGACCCGUCAACAAAAAUAAGUAAAUUUUAUAGAUACUUAAAUAUAUUGUUUGUGGAGUCAAAGAUACUUUGGUUGUAUUAGCAAUGUUGAGACUUGAAAUCUUAAUGGUUUAAGUUCAUAUGCGCAAAUGACAUGUAUGAAUUUAAAUUUCAUCAUGUGUGAAUUUUAAGCUAUCGUACUAUAUAUUAAGUUCUGCUAUCAUGUUAUAUAUAGAAUGGCAUGUGUUAAGAAAAUAGGAUGGAAAAAGAUAAAGAGAUCAGUCAAGGAGCGACGACAAAGUUUCUCUAAUGUUCAUUGUCCACUUGAAGGUGCCUUAGGCCACCAUUUUCAUCAUUAAAGUUGCCAAUAAUUUUUCCAUGGUCCUCUUUGCCAAUUGGGCCGAUCAAAUUUUGCCAGGUUCACCAUGUGACCACUACUUUUUCAUAACACUCUUAAUUGAUUAGUUUGGCCACUCUUUAUUGUCACACCAUCCUCUACCAUCAUAUCUCCCACUUUUUCAACUCCAAUAGAAGCUAUUCAACUAUCCAAGUAAUGAACACAUACUUCUCACUACUUUCUCUAGAAAAAUGUCAGCAAAUUAUAUAAUAUCAUGUAGUCACUUUAAUAAUAAAAUAAAGAAAAUGAGCGACUUCACUAUUAAAGUGAGGAAAUUGGUCAAAUUAUCUCACGAGUUAUUGUAUUAUAAGUUAGAGAGCAAAUUAAAAAAAAUCAAAAUUCAACAUUGUUAAAAAUGAUUAAUGAUCAUUGAAAUUUUAAUCAUAAGUAGUUUGAAUAAUUUUUUAUAAAUGUAUUUUAAUAUUUUUUAUUUAGGUCGUGGUUGUAACGUAUGUUGGAAAAUAUGAACAUCACAUAUAUAAUAAGGAUAAUUACAUGUUAUUAUUUACUAUCAUAAUAUAUUAACCCAAAUUAAAAGUGAUCUAAUUUGGUUAAGGUUUAUUGAGCUUUAAUUGUUAAAUAAAGUAUGAGUCAUUUAUGUGUAGAUAUCUAGUAAAUAAUUUUUCGUUAAUGAUGAGCUGAUUAGAAAUUAGGGUUAAUGUGUCAAAGUUAUAUAUUAGGGUUAUGGUCUCAAAUUACACACAAGGUAACUUUUUUUAUAUAUGUCUUUAAAAAAGAGAGAGCCAGAACCUACUCUAGUUUUGUUCUUAAUUUAUUCUUGAUAAUUUGACAUGACAGAUCCUGAUAGAUUUAUUAAAUUUUAUUUCAUAUUUAUUUUACGGUUUUAACAACGUAAUCUAAUAAUAAUGAAAUUGUUUAGUUUUAUACUAAAAUAAUCAUUUUGUUUAAUUCAACAAUGAAAACCGUAACCUUUCAAGUUCUAAUGCUUACCUUUGAAGUUUCUUGGUUUCUAAAUAAUUUGGGCAAAAAGAUUGGAAGAUGAGGACGGCAACAAAGGCAGCAUAUACCAUUUUUACUGUUCAAAUUCUCAGUUUACAAAAGAAACAAGCUGAUAAUUAUUACUAGACAAAGUAAAAGCCAGACAGACAAACUGAGCAAACAACAUUUCGAGCCUGUUUAGUGUCUUUUUCUUUUGGCUUUGUGUAGUUUUACAUCAUGAUUUUGCCGCUGUUAUGUCUGUAAAAGUAGAACGUCGGUAAUGAUAAUAUAUCGCAAUAAAAUAAAAAUAAAAAACACACAAAUUUUUACGUGAAAACCCUUUCGGGAAAAAAACCACGAGCAGAGGAGAAGAAAAUUCACUAUGUCGAAUUCGAAUGAUUACAAGAGGAGUUUUGUAGAAAACAUGGAAAAUAUGAAAAUGAUUUUCCUUAUUAUUUACAGAAUAGGAAAAAUGCUUAUAUACAUGAAGUAAACAGCUAACUAAGCUAACAGAAAAUUACAGCAGCUAACUAAGCUAACAGAAAAUUACAGCAGCUAACUAAGCUAACAAAAAAUUAUAGCUGUUGACACCGUUUUUUGAUGAAACGGGGUCGACUUGGAUUUAAAAAAAAAGAAUGAAAACGGGAGUCGCCACCAAUCCUUUUUUUUGACGAGGUGUGAUCGGGUCACCUCAAAAAGUGAUUGUUUUUAAUAAAUGAUUUAAUUUUAUUGAAACAACGAUUUUGGUCUACGAAAUUCAGAAAAAUGAAUUCGGGAGUCGGCUACGCACGAGGAAGGAUUAGCACCCUCGAUACGCCCAAAAUUGGUACCUAGUUGAUUAAUUAGUGUCUUAGUGUCGAAAAUUGAAAAUUUGAAGAGUUUUAAAAAUACGAUCCUUAAAAGAAACUCUGAUAACAUGAAUUGAAAUAUAAGAUUCUCUUGUUCCGAAGGAAUAUCACAUCCAGCACGUUAGGACACGAUACUCUAAACCAUCGAAACCAAGAUCACCUUAUAGUUUAAUGAAACCAUACUUUGAAGCUUUAAGAGGAUAUUUGGCUAUUUAGUCAAACGAGAAAUCGAAACCCAGCACGUUAGGGUACGUUAUCUCGAUUUUCCAAACGCGAAAUAUUGCCUUAUUUAGAAAAAUUUUCCUUUUGGUGUUUAGUGUCAAUGCUUGACAAAACAAUAACGAAUGCGACAAAGUGAGCAAAAUAAAGUGAGUAACAACAAUACAAUAGGCAAAAUGGAAUGACGAGGCGAUUACAUAAACAAAGCAUACAAAUAAAUAAAUAGAACUAACAUUCUAGAAAAAGCACAAGGGUAUAUGAAUAAAUAAACAAACACCAAAUAACAAUGAUGACAAUAAAUACAAUUAUGUAAAAACGUGUAUGCAUGUAUGAUUUAAAGCCAUAAAAUAAGAAAUGCAUGUAAAUUACAGAAUAUGAGAACAUAGAUAAAUGUAUACAUAUAUAAAAAAAAUCGGUGAGUAUUAUAAAAAUAACAACGAUGUUAAAAUGAUAGUGAUGAGUUUAAAAUAGAUAAUGCAAAACAAGAGAUUUAAGGUUAAUAAUGUACACAAAAAAAUGGUAUAUAUAUAUAUAAGAUAAAACAAAUAAUGUAUAUAAAGUAAUACGAAGGAAAAGAAAAAUCUUUGAAACGAACAACAAAUAAAACAUUUUUAAAUAAAUAAGUUGCGUUUAAAAGAUAUGUAAAACAAGUGUAAAUAAUAAAACAAUUUUAACUAAAUAAUACAUAAAAUGGGUUCAAAAUGAAGAUAAAAAUGACAAUUUAAAAGGAAACAAUAGAAAGCAGUUUAUAAUAUUUAACAUAUAUAAUACAUCUUAAACAUAAAAUAAAACAAACAAUAAUAAAAGCAAAUCGAUAUACAUAUAAAAAAAUUUGAAAUGUCAGUAAACUUAAAAUAAUAUAUAUAUAUGUAAAUAAAAUUAUCUAAUAUAAAUGAUACGAGAAAGAAAGAAUAAUAAUAAUAAAACCGCUUAAAUGAAAUGACAUAAAAAUCUACACAAUUUAAAAAAGAAAAUAAGAUGAAAUCAAAAUGAACAAGGAGACUAAUAAUAAUAAACAAAAUAAUUUGAAAGAAAAGUAAAUAUAUAUAUUUAUGAAAUAAAGAACUAAGGAUGAAAAUGGAAACGGAACAGAAUCUGGGGAUUGAAACUGUAAAUAAAUAUAACAGGUGGCUAAGGGGCUGAAAUAAAAGGCGUUGAGGAUAUGGGGGAUCGAUUGCGAAUAUUCCCGUCCCGUAUGCGCAUCGUUUUGCGCGGGACCAGGUUGAAAAGGGCGCAAAAUUCGAUGGCCAAAAUUAAAGGAAACAAAAGGUUUCAUUGAGGGUGCCGCAGAAUUUGGGGGGACCAAAGGCACAAAUUACCCAUUAGGGCAAUAGUGCACAGGUCUUUCUUCCAUUAACGACGCCCUAUGGAAUAUUAUAAAUAGAAAACAAAAAAUAAAUAAAUAAAUAGAACCCUAAAAAAGAAAUUAGCCCCCACUUCUUUCUUUCUUCUUUCAGACAAUCUAAGAAUCCCAAAAAAAUGAAGGGAGUUCCAUUUUCUGUUCCAAGGUUCCAAGACUACGAACCCCGUCGCCGACUUCGCCGCACCACCACUAUCGCCGGUGGCCGACGACAAGCGACCACGGAGGUAAGUUUCUCGUAUUUCUCUUUUCUUACAUUUUUCAUUUUUGAAUGCACAAGAAGAGAAAAAAAAAGGUGAAAUAAAAUAUGCUGAAAUUAUAAUGCAAAAAAAAAACAAAAAGGAAAAAUCCCCUAAAAAUCGUACUGCUUUUGGUAUGUCUCGUUCACAAAACAAUCGUCUGAUUGAGAUUGAUUCUUAAGAAAUAAAAAAAACAUGAAUAAGUAAAUAAAUGGAGAUCUUGAGAAAUAAAAAAGAAUGAAUAAGUAAAUAAAUGGAUAGCAAGCAGUUUGAAGAUUAAAAUCAACCUUUCAAUAUUUCUUUGUUUUCUUUUGAUUUUCUAGUGUUCGUAAAAGAGAGGAAGCACCCGUACAAUCGUCUGAUUUUCGGCUUUUAUAGCCGAUUUACAGCCUUUUAGUUUCUAUUUUUUUUUGUCACUUUGCUAUUUGGCUUCUUGCAGGUGGCCAUGGCCGACAGUGGUGGCAGAAGCUUGUGAGUGGAGGUGUGGGCUGGAGGCGUGGCAGACGAGGAGGUGGAGCGGCACACAUGCGGCGCUCAUGGGCAGUUGGGGCUACGGUUUGCUGUUGCUGAAAGUUUGUUAUGGGCUAUUAGGUUUGGGCUUGAAUUUGGGUUUGGGCAUUUUUGGGUUAAUUUUUGUUGUAAUGGACUGGAAGUGUUUUAUUAGUCUGGUUUGUUUGGGUUGGUUUGCUGGUAUGGGCCCGGGCAAAAUGGGCUCGUACAGCUGCCCCUCUUUGCUCAUUUUCGCGUAACGAGAAUAGAGCAAAGACAUCAAAAGGGCCAAUUUUGCCCGGUCUUACCGAGUCUUGACUUUUUGGUGCUCAUCUUCUUCAAGUAGCCUUAUUCCAAGCUGUCACGUCUUGUUGCUUCGAUCCACUCUUCUGCAACUUCAGAUACGCCUUGUAGCUUCAAUCUACUCUGCUACGACUCCAUGGGGAUGAGAUUUGUGUUUUUAGUCUGCUCCACUACUACUUAGGGAGAUAAGACUGUAAUCUUCGAUUUGCUUCUCUGCCAAAUACAGGAAGGCAAGAUCUGCAAUCUUCGAUCUACUUCAACACCAGUAUGGGAAGACAAGAUCUGUAUCUUGGAUCCACUUCCUAUCAAUAUAGGAAGAUAGGACCUGCUAUCUUCGAUCUACUUCACGCCAAUAAAUGAAGACAAGAUCUGCUUUCUGCGAUCUACUUCGCCACCAAUAUGGGAAGACAAGAUCUGCAUCUUGGAUCCACUUCCUAUCAAUAUAGGAAGAUAGGACCUGCUAUCUUCGAUCUACUUCACGCCAAUACAUGAAGACAAGAUCUGCUUUCUGCGAUCUACUUCGCCACCAAUAUGGGAAGACAAGAUCUGCGUCGUCGAUCCACUUCCAAUCAUUAUAGGAAGAUAGGACCUGCUAGCUUCGAUCUACUUCACGCCAAUACAUGAAGACAAGAUCUGCAUCUGACUUUAAUCCAUCCCAUUGUAACUUCAUGGGUAUAGGAUCUGUUCCUUUGAUCUGUUCUCUGGGAAUAUGACCUAAAAAAUCAAUUUUAUGGACAUAUUUACGCCUAGUGUUUAGGAUGACAUGAUCAGAGUGGAUCAAAUGCUCCUAACUAGAUGUGUAUGAAUGAUAUUUGCAGAAUGUCAUGAGAAUGAUCCCUUUUUAAAUGCUUAGGUUGUCAUUACUCGAAAUUUAUUAACGGUUCUAUCACCGCCCCUUCUCGUUCAGCUGGUAUCUUUGACAGAAAAAACUAAGGAAAUAGUUGCAAUUUAGACUAUUCUUCCUCCAAUGCUUCUAACCCUUAAGUUUGGUCAGUUCUAAAUAAUAGUCCUGUUUCAGGUCCUCGUACUAUUUAGAAGCUUUCAGAGUAAUAUGUAGAACUCCUUCUGCUUGAAUAUUACCAGUCCAGUAAUCAUUAUUUUAAUGAAAAAUGCUUGAAAAAGAUUAUCAAGAUGGACAAGAUAAAAUUUUGCUGAGAGCAAAACUCGAAAUGAAUAAAUCAAUCAAGAUAGCAAAUUUUGCUGAGAUAUGAUGAAAAAGAUUAUCACAAUGAAUAAGAUGGAACUUUAUUGAGAGCAGAGCUCUAAAUGAACAAAUAGCAAAUUUUGCUAAGAUGUAAAUAAGAUAAAAACAGGUGCCCCAGAUAUCGCAGCAUUAGCUUCUCUGCACAAACUCUGUGUUUAGAAAUCCUAAAAGACUUUGUUGAUGCCCCAAGAUGUAGCAUCUCUCCUUCUUGUUAAUUCGGAGAAGACAAAACUACUCUAUGCCUCAUCUUUGAUCGAAAAUUUGAAUUGCCCAUUCCUGGGUUUUCAAUUCAAAGCCCCUUUGGUCUCAAGGUGCCCUUUGCGGGUUUUCGCCUUGGCCUCUCCCUUUUUUUUUUUUUAGGCAAAGUACCUCUUCACUGAAUCCGAAUUCACAGGAUUGGGCAAGCUUUUGCCAUCCAUCCCAGUUAAAAUUAAUGCCCCUCCUGAAAAGGCCUUUUUUACUACAUAAGCUCCCUCCCAGUUUGGCAUCCACUUUCCUCUGAAGUCUUUUUGUAUGGGAAGGAUCUUCUUCAGUACCAAGUCCCCUUCAUGGAAGUUUCUAGGACGAACUUUCUUAUUGUAAGCUCGCAUCAUUCGUUUCUGGUACAUUUGACCAUGACGGAUAGCUCUUAACCUCUUUUCUUCAAUCAAGUUCAGCUGAUCAUAUCGGGAUUGGACCCAUUCUGCUUCAUCUAACUUUAGUUCUAAAAAAACUCGGAGAGAGGGAAUUUCAACCUCAAUUGGUAGCACUGCCUCCAUUCCAUAAUCCAAAGAGAAUGGUGUUGCCCCGGUAGAAGUCCUGACGGACGUUCGAUAAGCAUAGAGGGCAAAUGGCAACUUCUCGUGCCAAUCUCUAUAGGUCUCAGUCAUUUUCCCCACAAUCUUUUUGAUAUUUUUAUUGGCUGCCUCCACCGCACCAUUCAUCUUCGGACGAUAUGGCGAUGAGUUGUGGUGCUUGAUCUUGAAUUGACUACAAACUUCUGCAUCGUGCUAUUAUUCAAAUUUAAUGCGUUGUCAAAUAUAAUCCUUUCGGGCAUUCCAUACCGACAUAUGAUUUCCUUCUUUAAAAACUUGCUGACAGCUGCCUUUGUGACGUUGGUGUAAGAAGUAGCCUCUACCCACUUAGUAAAGUAGUCAAUCACUACAAAAAUGAAACGAUGUCCGUUUGAAGCCUUUGGCGAUAUCGGCCCAAUGACGUCCAUGCCCCACAUGGAGAAAGGCCAUGGGGAAGUCAUGACGUGAAGAGGUGAUGGAGGCAUAUGGAUUUUGUCUCCGUAAAUCUGGCAUUUAUGGCACUUUGUAGCAUAUUUGAUGCAGUCUCCUUCCAUGGUAGACCAAUAAUAUCCAAAUCUCAUGAUUUGUCUGGCCAUUGUGAAACCGUUAGCGUGUGUUCCACAAAUACCAUCAUGGACUUCUUCCAAGAUCUGUUUGGCCUCCACAGCGUCCACACAUCUUAACAGCACCUGAUCUUUUCCUCUUUUGUACAGGAUCUCUCCAUCUAAGACGUAAUCACUGGCCAGCCUCCUCAACAUUCUCUUGUCAUUCUCAGUUGCUUGGUUUGGGUAUUCACGAUUUUUUACGUAUCGCAAUAUAUCCUGAUACCAAGGGUUGUCGUCCUUUUCUUCUUCUUCGUCAAUGUUACAACAGUGGGUUGGAGCAUCAUAAAUGCUCAUUUGGAUAGGCUUCACAUCCUCUGGUCUAUUUACUUUGAUCAUGGAAGCCAAUGUAGCUAAAGCGUCGGCCAUCUGAUUCUCGUCUUGUGGGAGAUAACAAAAAGUGAUGUUGUCAAAUUCCUCAAUCAAUUCUAGGACUAUCCUUCGGUAACUAAUCAACUUAGGGUAUCUUGUUUCCCAUUCGCCUUUGAGCUGAUAAAUUACCAAUGCCGAAUCCCCAUAUACCUCAAGUACCUUGAUUUUGCGUUCUAUAGCCGCGCGGAUUCCCAUGAUACAUGCUUCAUAUUCCGCCAUAUUAUUUGUGCAAUCAAAAUCCAGUUUACUGGUGAAAGGAUAAUGAUCACCGUUUGGAGAUACCAAGACUGCCCCAAUCCCGUUGCCCAUGGCAUUUGAGGCUCCGUCAAAAUUUAAUUUCCAAGUAUUGCCUUCUUGUGUGCUUGCUUCAGUAGUUGCCACAUACAUCAGAUCCUCAUUUGGGAAAUCAAAGUUCAAAGGCUCAUAAUCGUCCAGGGCUCUACUUGCUAGAAAAUCUGCUAUCGCGCUCCCUUUUACAGCCUUUUGAUUCACAUAGGUUAUGUCAAAUUCAGAUAGUAGAAUUUGCCAUCGGGCCAUCCUUCCGUUUAGAGCAGUUGACUCCAUGUAUUUCAGAGGGUCUAACUUUGAGAUUAACCAAGUCGUAUGGUACAACAUGUAUUGUCUCAAUCUCCGAGUAGUCCAAACCAAUGCGCAACAUAAUUUUUCAAUUGGCGAAUAUCUCGUUUCGCACUCAGUGAACUUCUUACUGAGAUAAUAGAUCGCUCUUUCUUUUCGUCCUGACUCAUCAUGUUGGCCGAGCACGCCCCCCAUGGAAUUCUCAAAUACUGCCAAGUAUAGUGUUAGUGGCUUGUCAGGGCAAGGUGGCAUCAGUACUGGGGCGUUGGACAAGUAAUGUUUAACUUUUUCGAAAGUUUUCUGGCACUCCUUAUCCCAUACACCUGGAUUGUGUCUCUUAAGAAGACGGAAUAUGGGGUCACAUUUCUUAGUUAAUUGUGAAAUGAAUCGAGCGAUGUAAUUUAGUCUUCCUAGGAAACCCCGAACUUUUUUUUGAGUACUUGGCGGAGGUAAUUCUUGUAUGGCCUUAACUUUGUCUGGGUCAAUUUCAAUUCAUUUUUCGCUAACUAAGAAUCCUAGCAAUUUUCCUGAUCUAGCCCCGAAAGUACACUUGGCUGGGUUAAGCUUUAGCUGGAACUUCCUUAACCUUAGAAACAGUUUUCUCAGAACUUGCACGUGUUCCCCUUCUAUUCUGGAUUUUGCGAUCAUGUCAUCAACAUAAACUUCUAUCUCUUUAUGCAUCAUAUCAUGGAAUAAUGCUACCAUGACUCUCUGAUACGUUGCUCCCGCAUUUUUCAAUCCAAAAGGCAUCACUUUAUAACAAAACGUCCCCCACAUCGUUAUGAAUGUGGUCUUCUCCUUGUCUUUAGAAAGCAUCUUAAUUUGGUUGUACCCGGAGAAACCAUCCAUGAAAGAGAACAGUGAGUAUUCAGCCGUGUUGUCUACCAAGGUAUCGAUAUGAGGCAGUGGGAAAUUAUCUUUUGGGCUGGCUUUGUUCAAGUCUCUGUAGUCCACACACAUUCGCACUUUCCCAUCUUUCUUAGGAACAGAGACUAUAUUGGCUACCCAUUCUGAGUACUUGACCACCUGUAAGAAACCAGCAUCAAAUUGCUUCUUAACUUCUUCCUUUAUUUUUAGCAAGACAUCAGGCCUCAUCCUUCGGAGCUUUUGUUGGACUGGUUUGCAUUCUUCCUUUAUAGGCAACCGGUGUACCACGAUAUCAUUACUUAACCCUGGCAUAUCUUGGUAGGACCACGCGAAGACAUCUUUAAACUCUUGAAGCAACUCAACAAGGUCUUGCCUUGUUUCCUUGGUAAUGCAAGCGCCAAUUUUUACCUCUCUGCCCUCUUCUAAGAUCACAACUUCUACUGAUUCCUUAUAGGGUAGAAUUUGUUUUUCUUCUUCUUCCAUCAUUCUUAACAAAUCCGGAGAUAAAACGCUGUCUUGGUCACCUUCAAAAUCUUAAGGAUCAUCUAUACUCAUGUCUUGCUCAAAUAGAGACUCUGACUUAGUAACAGAGUCGCUCAUCUCGUUGAUAUCUGAAGACCUGUUAUUGGAACAAAUGGAGGCCCAAAUAAAAGAAUCUAAGAAUACUUGUAUGCAUAGUAUGAUUAUAAAGGGAAUGAAAAGAAUGAAAGAAUAUUUGCUCAAGAUGAAACUGAAUGAUAAGUUUUCACUGAAAUUAAAUUUUGGACAUAUGCCUGUUACAAAAGAUUCUUAUCACCCCCAGGCUUAGGGCAACAAGUGUUCUGAAUAUUACUCUGAAUUAGUUCUAAAUGUUACAGGGAUAUCUUCUGCAGUCCAGUUAUUCAGAACACUUCCAGGUUCGUAAGGACGAAUGCCCGAUAAAUUCCUUUCCACCCUUUCUUCCGCAGAUAUGGCAUUGAUGUCCAACCUCUCAAUCCUUCCUUCUGUAACCUCAUCUUUCUCUUUAGGGUGGACAAUUCCCCCUGAAACAAAAGUCUUAGAUAUAUGGGGAAAGGUUAUCGGUCCCCACUUGGCUUCUAUCCCGCCCAAAUGUGCUCUUCUCCUUUCUUGCUUUUUCUCCAUCUCCUUCCUCCUUUCCCUCGCAUUAGGCUUAUAUCCCAAACCAUAACUGUCCUGUUUGUUAACUAGGAUUGGUACUUCGACCCUUCCCUGGAGGUAUUUUCCAAAUCCUCUUCCAAGCAAUGCUCUCUUUCCUACCGUUAGCUGUAAGCUCAUUGACGUGGCUUUGGAUAUCUUAGGCUCUGGGAUUUUGCUCAUCUCGAUGACAAAUGUGGUAUUUACGAAUUCCAAUGAUCGGAAUGAACAUUCUAUCGCUUCACUAUCAGCCUCUAUGUAUGGCAUAUCAUCGGUGACUGAUGCAAUGAUGUCUUCUUCUGCACCUAUAGUCACCAAUCGACCCUCUACCACCAAUUUUAACUUUUGGUGAAGUGAUGAUGGUAUCGCCCCUGCAGAAUGGAUCCAAGGCCUCCCCAAUAGGCAAUUGUAAGAUGGUUUAAUAUCCAUUACCAAAAAGUCCACCUCGUAUGUAUUUGGAUCAAUCAAUAGAGGUAUCUCGAUUCUCCCCAUCACUUUUCUCUCAGUGCCAUCAAAUGCUCUCACCAUAUUUUGGCAUGAUUUUAUGUGAGAACUAUCCACAGGUAGCCUGUUUAAUGUGGACAGGGGUAAAACAUUCAGGGCCGAUCCAUUGUCAACGAGUACCGCCGGUAGUAUACACCCCUUGCAACGGGCAGUGAUGUGCAAGGCAUUGGUAGAUCCCAUACCGACUGGCGGGAUCUCAUCAUCGUUGAAGAAGAUGAAGUUAUCGGUAUUUAUAUUGUUAACCAGGCGAUCCAAUUUGUUCACUGAGAUAUCUUUAGCGAUAUAAGUCUCAUUUAGCACUUUUAUCAACGCAUUACGAUGUAUCUCUGAACUUAGAAGUAACUCGAGCAUUGAGAUGCGAGCCGGUUGCUUAUGCAGUUGUUCCACCACGCUAUACUCGCUAUGCUUCAAGAAUUUUAGGAAUUCUCUAGCCUCAUUUUCAGUCACCGGUGUGUUAAUAUGCGGUUCAAUUCCGGUCGUCUUCGUUUUAUCUUGUUCAACCGCCAAGGCUUUUCCUUUUAUAGGCUCCCUUUUUGUAUUUCCCGGGUCGUAACGUUUUCCACUACGCGUAUAGAAGCCUGCGUCAUUACCCUCUUCUGAAGCAUUUAUCGGGUUCUCCUUUCCCGUGAUCAUCACAUUGCAGUCAUAAUUCCAAGGAAUCUUUUUGCUAUCCUUGUAAGGAAAGGCUACAAGUUUUUGGAUUAUGACCCUUGGCGCCAGUUGUAUUCCAGAUCCUGUGCUUGUUGGCCUUGAAAUAAUCACCACCGGGUGAUUUUGGGCCUUUCUCGUAGGCCCCUCAUCCGAGGCAUAAACUUCUCCUUUUUCAAGUCCUUUGAUCUCUUCAUAAAAUUCUAGCUCUUUGUUAUUCAUCAGAUUUUGUACCAUGGCCUUGAAUUCAGUGCAGUUUUGAAUGUCAUGGUCUUCUUCAGCAUGAAACUCGCAGUACGUCUUCGUUCCUUCGGGCCUUUCUUUUGAAUCUUGUUUGAUGAGACCUCCUUCUAUCAUUUGUCUCCAAACCCAACUCAAUGGGGUUUUUAUCUCUGCAAUGUCGGCUUUGAUUCUCUUUCUCCCACAUUCGAUUAUUGCGUUUACCCCUUUAUCAGCAUGAUCGGGUAACGGAUUCGCUGCUACGUUGGGUCCUAAUGGAUUGUCAAACUUCACAAUCCCCAUCUUAAUGAACCUUUCCACCGCCUUUUUAAACCUAGUGCAGUUUUCAAUUGAGUGCCCUGGUAUCCCUGCAUGGUAUUCAUAUUGGGCAUUCGUGUCAUACCAUUUGGGAUAUGGAGGUUGCAUGGGCUCUAGAUAAAAUGGAGAUACUAUGUGUGUAUCAAAUAACUUCUGAUACAGUUCCCCGUAUGUUAUUGGAAUGGGCGUGAAUUGAAGUCUCUCUGUGUUAGUCCUUGUGUUAGGCCUCGUGUUGGGUUCCUGCCUUGAGGGGGCUUGGUGACUAGUGGUUAUCAUUUUUGGAGGGCCAACAGUAAUCGGUUUUGAAUGGCUCUUACUAUAUGUGCUUACGUUGUUUACUUCGCCCUCUUUUUUCCUUGGGGCUGGUCUUUUGAAGUUUUCCCCCGUGUCAAUUUUACCGCUCCUUACCGCGUUCUCAAUCAUUUCACCAAACAUUACCAUAUCCGAGAAGCUCUUGGUAGCACUCCCCAACAUGUGGUUGAUGAACGGGGCUUUCAAAGUGUUGAUAAACAACAUGGUGACCUCUUUUUCCAAAAGGGGUGGCUGGACUUGUGUUGCCACUUCUCUCCAUCGUUGGGCGUAUUGCCUGAAAUUCUCGCUAGGCUUUUUUUUCCAUGUUUUGUAACGUAAUUCGAUCGGGUGUUAUAUCCGUUACAUGACUGUAUUACUUCAUAAAAGCUUGCGCCAAGUCUCUCCAUGAACUAACUUUAGCACGACUCAGUUGGUUGUACCAUUUGGCUGCAGAUCCGAUCAAACUGUCCUGGAAGCAGUGGAUUAACAGCUGAUCAUUGUUGACGUAUCCUGUCAUUCUUCGAUAAAACAUAGUUAUAUGAGCUUCAGGACAACUAGUCCCAUUAUAUUUUUCGAAUUUCGGCAUUUUGAACUUAGGUGGGAGUACUAAAUCAGGGACCAAACUCAGAUCCUUGGCGUCAACCCCGCGAUGACAGUCGAUGUUCUCCAUGGCUCUAAAUUUUUCCUCUAACCAUCUACAUCGGUCCUCCAGUUGUUUUGGCAGGUUCAUUCUUACUGUUUCUGCCACGUCAUCGAGGUCCGGGACCACCGGAUUAGUGGGAUUAUCCCCGGGAUUAAAACCCGAGCCCAUUUGAAAAUGCACUGGUACCGAGGUACCAGCCAGAUAUUGAGGUCCUAUGGUAACUGGUACCCUCUGUGGGUACACCUCUGGUUGUUCUUGGAUGUUAGUUGGGGUGAAACCUGGAGGAUAAACAGGGUCAUCGUGAUCCUCCCCAGCAUCAACUACGGGGUCUUUUCCUUUGUUAUUCCCUCCAGCCAAUAACUGCUUUAAUUGGUUCAUCACGGUGUUCUGGGAUUCUAACAUGUCCUGCUGGAUUUUUUCCAGUCGUUCAUGCAUCUGAUCUUGCAUCUCUCGUUGCAACUGUUCCAAUCUUUCCAACCUUUGAUCCAUUGCUUUUGUUUGGCGACGAGUACCAUAGUGAUAUUUGAUUAGAUUUUUGUUGGUUUCCAGGGUAACUGUCAUAAUUUAAUUUUAUUAGGGUCAUUUUAUGAGAUGUAAUGCAAAUGUAUGAGAUGAAUGCAAAAAAAAGAGACAUUGAUUCGAAUUCAAUUUCAUUAGAAAACUCAACUAGAAAGCAAAUUUCUUUACAUAAAAUAAAUUACAUAUACGGCUUCGCCUUUAUACCUAAAGCCUUAACCUUCCUAAGAAGCCAAGCUAAAUCUCGACCUCGGCUUGAUUCUGACUCAUAUUUUAAACUCAAUACAUCGGCCUGAACUGCUAAUGUUUGCAGAUGAUCAGCCACUUCCCGCACUUGAGUCACAGCUUCGCCCAUAACGUAAUCUCUAUCUCUAAUCUGACUUUGAGAAUGAUGGAAUUGCUCUUGCCAUUGAUCAUUACUCCUCUCAAGAAGCUCCAUUCGUAGCUCAGAAUUGUGUAAUGCGUCCUCAAGCUCCUCUACCUUUCCUUUCAGUUCUUCGAUCUUAUUUAAGCUUGCUCUUAAUUCGAUCAUGGAGUUGCGACUACGGUACGAGUGAAGUGACUUUUUUAGCUCUGCCACCUUGGCCUUUAAUCCUGCCUUCUCAUUUCGGCAUUCUAACAAACUCCUUUCCAAAGCGUUUUCUCGAGCUCGAGCAUCUUGAAAUUUCUUUUCCCACUGAUCGGCCCUAUUCUUUUCCUCAUUGAUCUCUUGUCGCCACUGCUCUGACGUUUUACCCAGACCGAUAGUUCUCAUUGACAAUCGCAGCUUCUUGUAAUCUAUUUUUAGACUAUCCAAAUCCUCUUCAGCCUUGUUCUUUCCCUUCCUUAAUUUCUCGGCUUCUAGCUUGUGGAUAUCGAUGUCUAAUCCCAAAUGCACUCUUUCUUCUUCUAGCUGUUCUAUCCUCUUUCCCAACUCAGAAUUUCUUUUCUCAAAGUCUCGUUUGAUGAUCUCUAAUUCUGACGGAACUACUUGUAGAUGCUCCUCUAUAGACUGAACGCAAUCUUCCCUCGGCUUAGGGAUGUUGUCAUUGACUCUUUUACUCCACCACCCAUAAUAUUCUGAAGUUGUCAUCGCUCCUACGAUAAAUCUUUUCAUUCGGUGAACCUGUUUCCAAGCGUUAGAUAUUUCUCGAGUUUUUCUCUUGUAGUUUUCAUCCUUAUAAGAAAACUCACAUUGAGCCAGCCCUUGUGUUGCUGGUAUGAACUGUCUCGAUCUAUAUUGUCUUAAAACGAGUAAAUGGGCAUAACCGAAAGCUCCCCAAAUUCCGAGUAAAGGGACCCAGUCGAAAUCCCCACAUCGAUACAGGAUCUCAUCGGGUACCAUCCAAGGAGCUUUCCAUUCAACGUCAUCCUCCUGAAGAUUUUGGAGAAUCGUCAUCCACUUUUCUUCCGUGAUGUCGUCUCGUCUUGGUGUAGCAACUUGUUCCUUCAAUAGGGAAUAGUCUUCUGAGAAGACUCGAUAGGAGACAUUUUCCACCUUCCAAAAGUGACUAUGGAACCACACCAAUAGUAGCUGGGCGCAUCCGAUGAACCUUCCCUCCCCUGCUCUUCGACAUGCGCUUAGAGAUCUGAAGGUUUCUGCUAAGAUUGUCGGGAUGGGCGUGACUCCUUUACUAAGCCGAUCGAAUAAAUCAGAGACGGCCUCAUCUACAUGCCCUAAAGCUCUAGGGAAAAUUACCAAUCCAUAGAUACCUAGAGCGAAGACAUCCACUCUUUUCUUCACAUCAGGGUGUGCUAAUACUAAAUCUCGCAAGCUUUUCCAAGGAACGCAUUUACUGUCUCCUUUCUGUUGGAUCCGGGCAGCGACCCACUGUUUGCUCAUCCCUGUAAUGCUCAUCAAUUUUUUUAAUAAUGUCGGGACACUAGCAGCUCUAGAAUAGGCCUUGUCAAUUUGAAUCUUUGGACACCGAAGCAAGGUCGUAUAUUCUUCCACGGUGGGCACCAAGUCCACUUUUCCAAAAGUGAAACAACUGUAAGCAGGAUUCCAAAACUGGGCUAGGGCUCGGAAUAAAUGCUUGUCCACUUUGAUACCAAGUAGGUAAGGCAAGUCCCCGUAGUCACAGUAAAACAUCUGCUUGAUCCCGUCGUCCCAUUGAUCCCAUAUUUCCUUCAUUUCUCGAAGAUCAUUUUGGAUUACGUUGAUACGGGUGAAGUCCCAUAACUCUGAUACGUACCCUUCUGCAAGACUAUCGCCUUUUUCUCUCCACAUCAUUUCAGCCCACACUCGUACAGCUGCAUUGUCUUCUACUUUAUCAAGAAACCUCUUUUCCAUGAUAAGCUUUCUAUCUAUACUGAACGUGAAUCGACACCUCUUUUGAAAUGAAAAUGCCAUGCAAUCACAAACAAAGCAAAUCAGAGCUAGGAUUUAAAGUAAACAAUAAUAAAUAAAGCAUCUAUUCGGUAAGCACUAGGGUUUGGAAUAGCUCUAUCUCGGUGGGUUUUUACGGCUCGCUAUAUGUGGUUUGGUUCUAAAGUAAGGGUACCUGAACCAGCAGAUCCCUCGAUCCUCACCCAUUAUAGGCUCAUAUGGACCGAGUUCAGUUCAGGGGAAUACAUUUCCUUAUGGCCAUGCGGAGAUAAAAAUCUCACGAAGACAUAGGUACGGAUGUAUCCCGGAAGCGAUUCACUAUCCCAUGCGGAGGUGAAAACCUCACGAAGGCGUAGUUUCUCACUCCCACUUAAAAGGGUAUGACCAGCGGUCAUGCAAUGCAAUGUGCAGAGGUAUAAAAUAAAAUACAGAACACGAUAAAAAAAUAUAAUUCAAAACAAAAGAGAUGCAAUGAGAGGAUCGUAAAUUUAAAUCGAAUUUUCCACUUUCAACAAAAAGACAAGAAAUAAUCAACACGUGGCUUGACUCUCUUAUUUUCCCCAGUGGAGUCGCCAAGCUGUUGACACCAUUUUUGAUGAAACGGGGUCGACUUGGAUUUAAAAAAAAAGAAUGAAAACGGGAGUCGCCACCAAUCCUUUUUUUGACGAGGUGUGAUCGGGUCACCUCAAAAAGUGAUUGUUUUUAAUAAAUGAUUUAAUUUUAUUGAAACAACGAUUUUGGUCUACGAAAUUCAGAAAAAUGAAUUCGGGAGUCGGCUACGCACGAGGAAGGAUUAGCACCCUCGAUACGCCCAAAAUUGGUGCCUAGUUGAUUAAUUAGUGUCUUAGUGUCGAAAAUUGAAAAUUUGAAGAGUUUUAAAAAUACGAUCCUUAAAAGAAACUCUGAUAACAUGAAUUGAAAUAUAAGAUUCUCUUGUUCCGAAGGAAUAUCACAUCCAGCACGUUAGGACACGAUACUCUAAACCAUCGAAACCAAGAUCACCUUAUAGUUUAAUGAAACCAUACUUUGAAGCUUUAAGAGGAUAUUUGGCUAUUUAGUCAAACGAGAAAUCGAAACCCAGCACGUUAGGGUACGUUAUCUCGAUUUUCCAAACGCGAAAUAUUGCCUUAUUUAGAAAAAUUUUCCUUUUGGUGUUUAGUGUCAAUGCUUGACAAAACAAUAACGAAUGCGACAAAGUGAGCAAAAUAAAGUGAGUAACAACAAUACAAUAGGCAAAAUGGAAUGACGAGGCGAUUACAUAAACAAAGCAUACAAAUAAAUAAAUAGAACUAACAUUCUAGAAAAAGCACAAGGGUAUAUGAAUAAAUAAACAAACACCAAAUAACAAUGAUGACAAUAAAUACAAUUAUGUAAAAACGUGUAUGCAUGUAUGAUUCAAAGCCAUAAAAUAAGAAAUGCAUGUAAAUUACAGAAUAUGAGAACAUAGAUAAAUGUAUACAUAUAUAAAAAAAAUCGGUGAGUAUUAUAAAAAUAACAACGAUGUUAAAAUGAUAGUGAUGAGUUUAAAAUAGAUAAUGCAAAACAAGAGAUUUAAGGUUAAUAAUGUACACAAAAAAAUGGUAUAUAUAUAUAAGAGAUAAAACAAAUAAUGUAUAUAAAGUAAUACGAAGGAAAAGAAAAAUCUUUGAAACGAACAACAAAUAAAACAUUUUUAAAUAAAUAAGUUGCGUUUAAAAGAUAUGUAAAACAAGUGUAAAUAAUAAAACAAUUUUAACUAAAUAAUACAUAAAAUGGGUUCAAAAUGAAGAUAAAAAUGACAAUUUAAAAGGAAACAAUAGAAAGCAGUUUAUAAUAUUUAACAUAUAUAAUACAUCUUAAACAUAAAAUAAAACAAACAAUAAUAAAAGCAAAUCGAUAUACAUAUAAAAAAAUUUGAAAUGUCAGUAAACUUAAAAUAAUAUAUAUAUAUAUGUAAAUAAAAUUAUCUAAUAUAAAUGAUACGAGAAAGAAAGAAUAAUAAUAAUAAAACCGCUUAAAUGAAAUGACAUAAAAAUCUACACAAUUUAAAAAAGAAAAUAAGAUGAAAUCAAAAUGAACAAGGAGACUAAUAAUAAUAAACAAAAUAAUUUGAAAGAAAAGUAAAUAUAUAUAUUUAUGAAAUAAAGAACUAAGGAUGAAAAUGGAAACGGAACAGAAUCUGGGGAUUGAAACUGUAAAUAAAUAUAACAGGUGGCUAAGGGGCUGAAAUAAAAGGCGUUGAGGAUAUGGGGGAUCGAUUGCGAAUAUUCCCGUCCCGUAUGCGCAUCGUUUUGCGCGGGACCAGGUUGAAAAGGGCGCAAAAUUCGAUGGCCAAAAUUAAAGGAAACAAAAGGUUUCAUUGAGGGUGCCGCAGAAUUUGGGGGGACCAAAGGCACAAAUUACCCAUUAGGGCAAUAGUGCACAGGUCUUUCUUCCAUUAACGACGCCCUAUGGAAUAUUAUAAAUAGAAAACAAAAAAUAAAUAAAUAAAUAGAACCCUAAAAAAGAAAUUAGCCCCCACUUCUUUCUCUCUUCUUUCAGACAAUCUAAGAAUCCCAAAAAAAUGAAGGGGGGUUCCCUUUUCUGUUCCAAGGUUCCAAGACUACGAACCCCGUCGCCGACUUCGCCGCACCACCACUAUCGCCGGUGGCCGACGACAAGCGACCACGGAGGUAAGUUUCUCGUAUUUCUCUUUUCUUACAUUUUUCAUUUUUGAAUGCACAAGAAGAGAAAAAAAGGUGAAAUAAAAUAUGCUGAAAUUAUAAUGCAAAAAAAAAACAAAAAGGAAAAAUCCCCUAAAAAUCGUUCUGCUUUUGGUAUGUCUCGUUCACAAAACAAUCGUCUGAUUGAGAUUGAUUCUUAAGAAAUAAAAAAAACAUGAAUAAGUAAAUAAAUGGAGAUCUUGAGAAAUAAAAAAGAAUGAAUAAGUAAAUAAAUGGAUAGCAAGCAGUUUGAAGAUUAAAAUCAACCUUUCAAUAUUUCUUUGUUUCCUUUUGAUUUUCUAGUGUUCGUAAAAGAGAGGAAGCACCCGUACAAUCGUCUGAUUUUCGGCUUUUAUAGCCGAUUUACAGCCUUUUAGUUUCUAUUUUUUUUUUGUCACUUUGCUAUUUGGCUUCUUGCAGGUGGCCAUGGCCGACAGUGGUGGCAGAAGCGUGUGAGUUGAGGUGUGGGCUGGAGGCGUGGCAGACGAGGAGGUGGAGCGGCACACAUGCGACGCUCAUGGGCAGUUGGGGCUAGGGUUUGCUGUUGCUGAAAGUUUGUUAUGGGCUAUUAGGUUUGGGCUUAAAUUUGGGUUUGGGCAUUUUUGGGUUAAUUUUUGUUGUAAUGGACUGGAAGUGUUUUAUUAGUCUGGUUUGUUUGGGUUGGUUUGCUGGUAUGGGCCCGGGCAAAAUGGGCUCGUACAAUAGCUAGAUAACAGCUAGAUUAACUAACAAACUUAUAACUUAAUUAGCUAAUACGCCCCCUCAAGUUGGAGAGUGGAUAUUCUUCAUUCCCAGCUUGACCAAAUUUGCCUCAAAAAGAACUGCAGCAAGGGCCUUGGUAAAGAUAUCUGCAAGUUGAUCUUUGGACGAACAAGGAAGCAAUUUGAUAACACCCUGAGUAGUCUUUUCUCUAAUGAGAUGACAAUCUAUCCCUAUAUGUUUUGUCUUCUAAUGAAAAACAGGAUUCGCAGCCAAUUGUAAAGCAGAAGCAUUAUCACAAUACAAUGAAGUUGGACGAGAAACAGGCUGAUGAAGGUCAGUCAGCAAAAAAUGUAGCCACUGGAUUUCACAUGUUGUGGAUGCAAGUGCUCUAUACUCCGCUUCUGUGGAAGAACGAGAAACGGUAGUUUGUUUCUUUGCCUUCCAGCUAAUCAAUGAGUCACCAUAGAACAUACAAUAUCCAGUGAUUGACCGUCGCGUAUCCGGACAACCCGCCCAAUCUGAAUCACUAAAGGCUUUAAGAACUGGUUGAAUUGUUGAACUAGAAAAGAACAAACCAGAUCCAGGAGAUCCUUUCAAAUAUCGAAGCACUCUAUGAGCUGCCUGCAAGUGUGAGAGUGUAGGUUUAUCCAAAUGCUGACUCAGUUGUUGUACUGCAAAUGAUAUAUCAGGGCGAGAAGACUGCAAAUAAAUCAAUCGGCCAACAAGUUGUCUAUAUGCAGUAACAUCAAAAAGAUAGUCAUGAGAAGCAUCAUUUGGCAGUUUGGUUGCAAUAGGUGUUUUAGCAGGUUUGCACUCUAAGAAACCAAAAUCAGAAAGAAUGUCCAAGACAUAUUUUCUUUGGGACAAAUGAAUACCAGAUGAACUUCGAGCUACCUCUAACCCCAAAAAAACUUUAAAUCUCCAAGAUCUUUGAUCCGAAAUGAGGUAUCCAAGAAGACUUUGACUUUGUUAAUCUCAUUCAUGUUGUCACCAGUUAGAAUCAUGUCAUCAACAUAGAUUAACAAAGCAGUAAAUGAAGUAGCUUCCUUUUUCACAAACAAGGAAUAAUCAGCCAUGGAUUGCACAUAUCCAAUAGAUAACAAAGCUGAUGUAAGCUUUGAAAACCAUUGCCUACUAGCCUGUUUAAGUCCAUAAAGUGACUUUUGAAGUUUGCAAACCUUAUUCAUACCCAAAUCAAAUCCAGGAGGAGGCAACAUAUAAACUUCCUCAUCAAGGUCUCCAUGUAAGAAGGCAUUAUUAACAUCUAACUGCUGGAGAAACCAUUUCUUUGAAGCAGCCAUAGCCAGUAACAAUCUGACAGUUGUAAUCUUUGCUACAGGAAAAAAAGUGUCAAAGUAGUCAAUGCCUUCGGUUUGCGUGUAACCCUUAGCAACCAAACGAGCCUUAUAUCGCUCAAUAGAACCGUCUGCUUUGUGCUUAAUACGGUACACCCAUUUGCAACCAAUGGCUUGUUUCCCUGGUGGUAAAUCAACAAGAAUCCAAGUGUUAUUUUAUUCAAGAGCUAAAAAUUCAGCCUGCAUUGCUUCUCUCCAUUGGGACUGUUUGUUGGCUUAAUUAAAAGUUUGAGGUUCAAUGGCUGCAGUGAUGGCUAAGGUAAAAUGUAAAUGAGAAGUGGAGAGGUUGGCAUAAGUAAGAUAAUUAAUUAAUGGAUAAAGUGUGGAGUGAGGUUGGCUUGGUGGACAUAAAUGGCAUUGAUAGUCCUGGAGGUAAGAUGGUGGUUUUCGAGUGCGAGAUGGCCGAGAGGGUUGAGUGGAAAAGUCAGAUUGAGGUGAGGGAAUAGGUUCAGGAGAUGGUAUAUCAGUAUCAUAAGACAUUGAAGGAUCAAAAGUAAUAUGUGGGAUAGUGUCAAAGGAAGGUGUGACAGUUGGAAAAGUGGUUUCAUGAAACAUGACAUUUCGAGAGAUGAAAAUGUCAUGAGAAGCAAGAUCAAACAAAAUAUAGCCUUUGACAUUAGGUGGGUAACCAAGGAAAAUACAUUCUCUGGCACGAGGGUCAAAUUUAUGUCUAUUGGAUUGUAAGGUGGUGGCAAAGCUUAGGCAACCAAAAACUUUUAAGGCUUGAUAAUCUGGUGGAGUAGAAUUUAGUUUUUCAAAAGGGGUAAGAUUGUUUAAUAAUGGUGUUGGUGUACGGUUAAUAAGAAAUACAGAGUGUAAAAUGGCAUGACCCCAGAAAAGCUCAGGUAAUUUGGAAUGAAACAACAAGGCACGAGACACAUUAAGGAUAUGUUGAUGUUUACGCUCCACUAAACCAUUUUGC
rnacentral:lncRNA from 1 species